GGCAAGGUAGCUCAGCUGGUUAGAGCACAUCACUCAUAAUGAUGGGGUCGGUGGUUCAAAUCCACUUCUUGCUACCA
rnacentral:tRNA from 1 species